rnacentral:rRNA from 1 species
AACGUAGGAGACAAACGUUAUCCGGAGUUACUGGGCGUAAAGGGCGUGCAGGUGGUCUGUUAAGUCUGGCGUGAAAGCUCUCGGCUAAACCGGGAGAGGUCGUUGGAUACUGGCGGACUAGAGGACGGUAGAGGCGUGUGGAAUUCCGGGUGUAGUGGUGAAAUGCGUAGAGAUCCGGAGGAACACCAGUGGCGAAGGCGACACGCUGGGCCGUACCUGACGCUGAGGAGCGAAAGCAUGGGGAGCAAAUAGG